UACGAAGGGGGCUAGCGUUGUUCGGAAUCACUGGGCGUAAAGCGCACGUAGGCGGAUGUGCCAGUCAGGGGUGAAAUCCCGGAGCUCAACUUCGGAACUGCCUCUGAUACAGCACGUCUUGAGUCCGGAAGAGGUGGGUGGAAUUCCUAGUGUAGAGGUGAAAUUCGUAGAUAUUGGGAAGAACACCGGUGGCGAAGGCGGCCCACUGGUCCGGUACUGACGCUGAGGUGCGAAAGCGUGGGGAGCAAACAGG
rnacentral:rRNA from 1 species